rnacentral:rRNA from 1 species
CUUGGUGUUACUGCGAAGGGGGGACGGAGAAGGCUAUGUUGGCCGGGCGACGGUUGUCCCGGUUUAAGCGUGUAGGCUGGUUUUCCAGGCAAAUCCGGAAAAUCAAGGCUGAGGCGUGAUGACGAGGCACUACGGUGCUGAAGCAACAAAUGCCCUGCUUCCAGGAAAAGCCUCUAAGCAUCAGGUAACAUCAAAUCGUACCCCAAACCGACACAGGUGGUCAGGUAGAGAAUACCAAGGCGCUUGAGAGAACUCGGGUGAAGGAACUAGGCAAAAUGGUGCCGUAACUUCGGGAGAAGGCACGCUGAUAUGUAGGUGAAGUCCCUCGCGGAUGGAGCUGAAAUCAGUCGAAGAUACCAGCUGGCUGCAACUGUUUAUUAAAAACACAGCACUGUGCAAACACGAAAGUGGACGUAUACGGUGUGACGCCUGCCCGGUGC